UUCCUGGAACCCCAAAGUUCCAACUCCUUUAGGAUUCCCAACUCCCAAUCCCAUACUCCCUAGAACUCCUAGCUUCUAUACACCCUAUAACCCUUAGCUUCCAAUCCUACUCCAUACACCCUACACCCCACCUUGGUUUACCUACACCCUAACUUACACUAUACACCAUAGUACAUCAUAUACCCUGCUCUAUUCUAUACACCCUGCUCUAUUCUAUACACCCUACUCUAUUCUAUACACCUUAGGAUGCUUAUGCCUUAGGUCAUUCUAUACACCCUAGUCCCUAUACACCAUACCUCAACCCAACCCAUCUAAGCCAUCCACCUAGACUUUAAACCUUAACCUAGACCCACAAAGACCAAGACCUCUCUCUCUCUCUCUCAUGUGUAUACAAAGGGACCGAUGAAGGUGCACCUAGGCUAAGGCCCAUUCUAGGUCCACUGUCUCUCCUCUCUCUUCUCUCUAUCUUCUUUUUUCUUCUCUCUUUUGUUUUUCUCUUCUCUCCCUUCCUUUUCUCUUUUUCUCUUUCUUUCUUCUCUCUCCUCUCUCUCUCUCUCUCAGCCAGCAGUCAGCACCCUCUCUUCUCUCUCUCUCUCUCUCUCUCUCUCUCUCUCUCUCUCUCUC
rnacentral:lncRNA from 1 species